rnacentral:lncRNA from 13 species
UUGGCUCAGAAAGACCUGCCCUUCCAUCUAUGGAACAAUGAAAAUGAAAUCUCUUAGUCAUUAGAAAAGAAAACAGAGAGGCAGAAGAGGGGGAAACAGGAGGAAGAGGAGAAGUGUUUACAUCUGAGAGCUGUUGAGAACUGUCCUAGAACUUCCAGGCCAAGGGCUGUGUUGCUGCUGGCCCUGCUGGCAUGAGUUUGAUGUCUCUGUUUACCUUUUUGUGGCUGUCAGGCUAUUUUUCUGAGCUACGUGGCAAGAUCUUUGUGUCAGAUAACUCCAUCCACGGAAAUUGAGGCACAGAGAGAAUAGGACACUCGCCCAUGGUCCUGGUCAUACACUGAUAAAGAAACAGCUGGUACUUGAAUUCAGACUUCCAGACUCUUAGAUAAACUCUGGAAACAGAUAGAGCUCCGCAGAGCAGCUGGGACAUUGUGGCCAGAGAGAAUCCUUGGCUCAAAACUUAGAUUUCUGGAGUCUCGUGAAUUCCUCUGCAGGAGAUGUGUAACUAAGAAUACGUGGUCUGAAGUGACUUCGAUGAUUCUCUACUCCAAUCUCCUUGUUUUUCAAAUAGAGCAUCUAAAUGCUUCAUAUUUUGUUCCAAAGUGCUAUGGUUUGAAUGUGACUCUCAAAACACAUGUGUUGGAAACUUAAUCUCCAAUGCUACAGUUUUGCGAUGUGGGGCCUAAUGAGAGGUGAUUAGACCAAGAAGGUGGGGUGAAUGGAUUAGUGCUGUUAUUAUGGGAGUGGGCUUGUCCUUGCAGGAGUAGUUUCCUUAUGAAAGUGCAAGGUUAGCUAUUUGGCUCCACCCCUCCCCUCCCC